UUUUUUAAAAAUCACCAAUUUCUUCGGUUAUGGAAUUAUUGCAGUUUCUGUAGUUAAGGCCAAAACUAAUUAAUUCAUCGCCCAUCAACUUAAUCGGUCAUUAGCCACAACUCAUCAUCAGCUACAGAGAUGGAUGGGUAAAGGAAGGUAUGGCCGACAAAUUUCAAAACAUCUAGGUUCAACUUCUAAUCUUCUAUUAUGGUUAUGGAGAAAAUAUGACACGUAAAUAUAAGAUGUGAUAGUUCUAAAAUUCUAAUAGAAAAUAUAGUUUUUGCAUUUGUGAAAAUAGUGUUUUGAAUUUCCUCUAAAGUUAUAAUAUGCCUCUUUUUUUUCCUUUCUCUUAAUGAAAUGGGACCGAAGAAUUCGAUGCAGACUCGUACGUCUCUAUUGGAAGGAUGAUAUUUUAUAUUUGUUAAUUGGGAAAAAAUGAUAACCUCACGCAAUAUACGAGAUUUUUUUUCUUUCAACUUUGAUCAUGAAGAUCGAGAGCCAAGUGGCCCAAGUCGUACGUACACCUGGAACUAUAUAAACGUAUUUGAAUUUGUCAUGAAAAAUUUUGAAAAGACUCUCUAUCUACGUACACGUGACUUGACUUAUUUGAAGACCUAAUAACAUAUACAUAUAUACAGG
rnacentral:lncRNA from 1 species